rnacentral:rRNA from 1 species
UACGUAGGGUGCAAGCGUUGUCCGGAAUUAUUGGGCGUAAAGAGCUCGUAGGCGGUUUGUCGCGUCGGGAGUGAAAUCCACUGGCUUAACUGGUGGCUUGCUUUCGAUACGGGCAGGCUAGAGUUCGGUAGGGGAGACUGGAAUUCCUGGUGUAGCGGUGAAAUGCGCAGAUAUCAGGAGGAACACCGGUGGCGAAGGCGGGUCUCUGGGCCGAUACUGACGCUGAGGAGCGAAAGCGUGGGGAGCGAACAGG